rnacentral:rRNA from 1 species
AGCGAACGCUGGCGGCAGGCCUAACACAUGCAAGUCGAACGGACCCUUCGGGUGAGCGGCGGACGGGUGAGUAACGCGUGGGAACGUGCCCUUUGGUACGGGAUAACUGAGGGAAACUUCAGCUAAUACCGUAUGUGCCCUACGGGGGAAAGAUUUAUCGCCAUUGGAGCGGCCCGCGUUGGAUUAGGUAGUUGGUGAGGUAAAGGCUCACCAAGCCUACGAUCCAUAGCUGGUCUGAGAGGAUGAUCAGCCACACUGGGACUGAGACACGGCCCAGACUCCUACGGGAGGCAGCAGUAGGGAAUCUUGCGCAAUGGGCGAAAGCCUGACGCAGCCAUGCCGCGUGUAUGAUGAAGGUCUUAGGAUUGUAAAAUACUUUCACCGGGGAAGAUAAUGACGGUACCCGGAGAAGAAGCCCCGGCUAACUUCGUGCCAGCCGCCGCAGUAACAC